GGCAUUGCCGGGUAGCUAUGUUCGGAAAAGAUAACCGCUGAAAGCAUCUAAGCGGGAAACUUGCCUCAAGAUGAGAUCUCACUGGGAACUUGAUUCCCCUGAAGGGCCGUCGAAGACUACGACGUUGAUAGGCUGGGUGUGUAAGCGUUGUGAGGCGUUGAGCUAACCAGUACUAAUUGCCCGUGAGGCUUGACCAUAUAACACCCAAACA
rnacentral:rRNA from 1 species